ACCUGCCUACGGGGCGCAGCAGUGGGGAAUAUUGCACAAUGGGGGAAACCCUGAUGCAGCGACGCCGCGUGAAGGAAGAAGUAUUUCGGUAUGUAAACUUCUAUCAGCAGGGAAGAAAAUGACGGUACCUGACUAAGAAGCCCCGGCUAACUACGUGCCAGCAGCCGCGGUAAUACGUAGGGGGCAAGCGUUAUCCGGAUUUACUGGGUGUAAAGGGCGUGUAGCCGGGCUGACAAGUCAGAUGUGCAAUCCGGGGGCUCAACCCCCGAACUGCAUUUGAAACUGUUGGUCUUGAGUAUCGGAGA
rnacentral:rRNA from 1 species